rnacentral:misc_RNA from 1 species
CCCCAGAAUACACAUAGUUUUCCUGUCACUCAUUUCUCAUGGGGAGUUUUGACACUCAGUAUUUUAUAGUAGCCAAGAACAAAGAAAUGCCACGCUUAAGAAAACCUAAGGCAAGUUCAACAACAAAAAACAGAGUGUGCUACUUAAACCCACAAAGGGAAGCACAUUAGACCUUCAAUGCUUCCCGAAAUACUUUCCGGUGAAAAUUUUUUUCCUUUUCUAAUCUUUUU